rnacentral:lncRNA from 1 species
AAUAAGAAAUUCUAAAUUGAGAUGGUAAAACCACAAUUUUCAUUCGCAAAAAAUAAAUAAGCUGUCAAUUCAAAAAGCCUCUCCCACAGAGUGGUCACCCUAAAAAGAAAACAUAGCCAACUUCUCAGAACAACUCUUUUAUUUAAAAAACAACAUAAUUAGGACUCCAACAAAACUGCAAACGGUGUGGAGAAAAUGUAAUCCAGGCCAAAUUAAAUCAUGCAACAGAUGCCAUGUGGUGAAUCAAGUCAACAAUGCGGUUACUACAAAACAGAGAAUUAUAU